rnacentral:rRNA from 1 species
AACGUAGGUGGCGAGCGUUAUCCGGAUUUACUGGGCGUAAAGCGUGUGCAGGCGGGUUGUCAAGUGGUGUAUGAAAUCGCCCGGCUCAACCGGGCGGGGUUAUGCCAGACUGACAGCCUGGAGUGCGGGAGAGGGGCGUGGAAUUCCGGGUGUAGUGGUGAAAUGCGUAGAGAUCCGGAGGAACCCCAGAGGCGAAGGCGGCGCCCUGGCCCGACACUGACGCUCAGACACGACAGCAUGGGGAGCGAACGGG